UGGGGAAUUUUGGACAAUGGGCGAAAGCCUGAUCCAGCCAUUCCGCGUGAGUGAAGAAGGCCUUCGGGUUGUAAAGCUCUUUCGGCAGGAACGAAAAGGCCUGGGUGAAUAAUCCGGGUUGAUGACGGUACCUGAAGAAGAAGCACCGGCUAACUACGUGCCAGCAGCCGCGGUAAUACGUAGGGUGCGAGCGUUAAUCGGAAUUACUGGGCGUAAAGGGUGCGCAGGUGGUUAUUUAAGACAGAUGUGAAAUCCCCGGGCUCAACCUGGGAACUGCGUUUGUGACUGAAUGGCUAGAGUGCGGCAGAGGGGGGUAGAAUUCCACGUGUAGCAGUGAAAUGCGUAGAGAUGUGGAGGAAUACCGAUGGCGAAGGCAGCCCCCUGGGUCAGCACUGACGCU
rnacentral:rRNA from 1 species